GUAGCGGAGCAUGUGGUUUAAUUCGAAGCAACGCGAAGAACCUUACCUAAGCUUGACAUCCCAAUGACAUCUCCUUAAUCGGAGAGUUCCCUUCGGGGACAUUGGUGACAGGUGGUGCAUGGUUGUCGUCAGCUCGUGUCGUGAGAUGUUGGGUUAAGUCCCGCAACGAGCGCAACCCUUGUCUUUAGUUGCCAUCAUUAAGUUGGGCACUCUAGAGAGACUGCCAGGGAUAACCUGGAGGAAGGUGGGGAUGACGUCAAAUCAUCAUGCCCCUUAUGCUUAGGGCUACACACGUGCUACAAUGGGUAGUACAGAGGGUUGCCAAGCCGUAAGGUGGAGCUAAUCCCUUAAAGCUACUCUCAGUUCGGAUUGUAGGCUGAAACUCGCCUACAUGAAGCUGGAGUUACUAGUAAUCGCAGAUCAGAAUGCUGCGGUGAAUGCGUUCCCGGGUCUUGUACACACCGCCCGUCACACCACGGGAGUUGGAGACGCCCGAAGCCGAUUAUCUAACC
rnacentral:rRNA from 1 species